rnacentral:rRNA from 1 species
AGCGAACGCUGGCGGCAGGCCUAACACAUGCAAGUCGAACGAACUCUUCGGAGUUAGUGGCGGACGGGUGAGUAACACGUGGGAACGUGCCUUUAGGUUCGGAAUAACUCAGGGAAACUUGUGCUAAUACCGAAUGUGCCCUUCGGGGGAAAGAUUUAUCGCCUUUAGAGCGGCCCGCGUCUGAUUAGCUAGUUGGUGAGGUAAAGGCUCACCAAGGCGACGAUCAGUAGCUGGUCUGAGAGGAUGAUCAGCCACAUUGGGAUUGAGACACGGCCCAAACUCCUACGGGAGGCAGCAGUGGGGAAUCUUGCGCAAUGGGCGAAAGCCUGACGCAGCCAUGCCGCGUGAAUGAUGAAGGUCUUAGGAUUGUAAAAUUCUUUCACCGGGGACGAUAAUGACGGUACCCGGAGAAGAAGCCCCGGCUAACUUCGUG